UCAGAUGCAGGGUUAUUGUGGUGACACUGCCUCCGCUGUCAAGUCAGUUUAAAUUUUCUGGGUGCUAUCUUGAAAAUGUUGGUGGGAUUGUUGCUAAUGAUAUUCUAAAAUUUUGAAUUCAGGGUUAUUGUUUCACCACUGUGAGUUGCUUUCUCCAUUUUUGCAAUUCUUUCCUCUUAAUUUGCUUUGAAAUAUUUGCUCGUUGGAUUUAUUUCCUCUUCAUUUAUAAUCUAUUUGGUGAUUUUGUGUUGUGUAGCUUGUACCUUAGUCUCUCCCUUUCCUUUCAUAAUAUUAUAAAAUAUGUCGUGCACUUUGGCCUUUCGUUUCUUGAUUUUCUUGGUUAAUGAAUUUGGAGAAAGAGUGAAUUAUGGGUAAGGGGGUAGAAAAUCACAUUGACAGAUAAAGAGGAUUGAAACGCCCUGAUUUUUACUAAGUGGAGUUUACUUAUUUGUUAAAAAAAUGAAUUUUAAAUUAUUAAUGAUUUAAUUGUCUUACGCUUAUUAUAUCGUUCAUAAAAUUUUUGUUACAAGUCCAGCCCAUGAACCUCUUUAUAUUUUAGAAUUUCUUUAUUUAUUUAUGAAACGAAAACCAGUGUUCGGAUUCAAAAAGAACAAAACAGAAAAAGGAAGAAAGGAAACAAGAGGAUAGCAGGACGUGAGAGAGGAGAAGAGGGAGAAAGAAGAGAAACACAAGAGAGGCUAGGUGAAGGAUUUGGAUUUAAAGAGAGAGAAUUGAAUUUCAAAGCAAAAUAUUAAAUAUCCGGCUUUUUGAAUUUGUAAGCCUUCUUUCUCAGUUCACUUUAUUCUUUUAUUUUUCUUCAAAAUUCUUGUUUAAAUUGGCAUGCAUGUUGAUGUUGUUAAGUCAUUUCUAAAUUAACUUGCAUGCAUGAUUAAAAUUAUGUUUAUUAGGUAUUAUGUCAUUGAAAUUAGUCUCUUUUGACAUGCUUGUUUCAAGUUCAGAUUCUUAUUUGAAAAAAAAAAAAAUCUGUGUGUUCCAUAUUCUGUUUUGGGUAUUAAAUUAAAUUGAUACUACCUAGCAAAUUCUAAACUGUAAUGGCUGAUUUCUUCUCUUAUUUUUGUUUAAUCUGUUCAAAUUCAUGUAUAAAUUUACAUGCAUAAGAUAUUUGCCUAAUUAUCAUAUAUGUGUUAAAUUCAUUUUGAGUGAAUUUUUAUACUAUAUAAUCAACUUCAAAGUUACAUGGGUUUGGCCAAUUUUCACAUGAUCGCUUCUUUGACUAUUUGAUUAGAUUUUUGUUCAUGCGUGGCUUAAUUAAUUUCAAAAUCUUCGUACUUAUAAAGCAUUAAUGUCUUUCAAUUAAAUUCUCUAAAUUUUCCUGGCUGCCGUAUGAACAACUCUAAUUUUUUUUGCUUAAAUAAAUUUGUUUGAGUUCUGAUUAAUACUUUAAUUUAAUAGAUUAUAAUGUAAAUCUUGCGGCAGAUUAUAAUUUAUGGUGCUAAUGGUAUUUUUUUAUUUAAUCCAUUGUUUUGUUCUUCAGGCUAUUGAUCCUAGGACUUGUAUGGUUUUAUUCAAAAUGCUAAAUUGGGUUGUAUUCCAAUGGCUGUAUUUUGACGGGAAAAGAAGUAUGUAGUGCUACACUUCUUUUUGAUUUUAUUAUCAUUAUUAUUUAGCUUAAUGGCAACCCAAUUUUCUCCCUACCCUUGUGAGUGUGGUCAAACCCCAAACAAAUGAAGAAGUUUUCUGGUUUUGUCUUAAAUUAAAAGCUAAUUUGUUUAGCUUUACCUUUGAUUUGAAUUUUUUGUUUCUGUUCUUUGCAGCCAACCAAUGAAAAUGGUGAUACUCGGGCUCCAAUAAGUAUUGAUUUAAUAGGAACCGCAUUGGUAAGCCUAGUUGCAAGACAAGAACUACUUUGCAAAGCAUGCUAUGUGUAUAAUUCUGAGCAUUAAGGAUUCAGUUUCUAAAGGGCGAGCUUGCUGGCUAGGUAUAAAUGUUCCAAGUGCCAAUCCCACCUUAUGUAAGCACAAAAUAUAGUCUCCAUUUCCUUUUUGGAUUAUAUUUGUUUGUAUAGUUAUAUGAUACUGGAUUUUAAUUUAAGAAUUUGUGUAGUACAUUUUUUGACUGUUAGGAGUUAGUUUGAUCAAGGUUAUUUGAGUACUAAACUGUUAUAAUUGAGCUUGUAUGCAUUUACGUUCUUUAUAUGUAAAUGACAAUUAUAUCAAUGUAUAAUGUAAAUUGAAAUUUGCCAAUGUGGCUUCAAUUGUACAAUUUAGAACAUGAAAACAACUAUCUAAAUUUUAAUUUAAAAAAACAAUUGAAGUAUAGUAA
rnacentral:lncRNA from 1 species